rnacentral:rRNA from 1 species
CCUACGGGUGGCUGCAGUGAGGAAUAUUGGGCAAUGGGCGCGAGCCUGAACCAGCCAAGUCGCGUGAGGGAUGAAGGUUCUAUGGAUCGUAAACCCCUUUUAUAAGGGAAUAGAGUGUGGGACGUGUCCUAUUUUGUAUGUACCUUAUGAAUAAGGAUCGGCUAACUCCGUGCCAGCAGCCGCGGUAAUACGGAGGAUGCGAGCGUUAUCCGGAUUGAUUGGGUUUAAAGGGUGCGUAGGCGGCCUUUUAAGUCAGCGGUGAAAGUCUGUGGCUCAACCAUAGAAUUGCCGUUGAUACUGGGUGGCUUGAGUAUGUUAGGGGCAGGCGGAAGGCGUGGUGUAGCGGUGAAAUGCGUAGAGAUCAGGCAGAACACCGAUUGCGAAGGCAGCC